rnacentral:rRNA from 1 species
UACAGAGGGUGCGAGCGUUAAUCGGAAUUACUGGGCGUAAAGGGCGCGUAGGCGGCCGUUCAAGUCGGGGGUGAAAGCCUGUGGCUCAACCACAGAAUGGCCCUCGAUACUGGAUGGCUCGAGACCGGAAGAGGUUGGUGGAACUGCGAGUGUAGAGGUGAAAUUCGUAGAUAUUCGCAAGAACACCAGUGGCGAAGGCGGCCAACUGGUCCGGUUCUGACGCUGAGGCGCGAAAGCGUGGGGAGCAAACAGG